GGGAAAUCAACUUCUCGAGCGCCUAUCGUGGGUGACGUUGAGCCUCACGGCCACUUCGCUUGUGUUUUGUUGGUGCUUUUGUGGUGUACUUUUCCGUAUGGUAGGUCAGCAUGAUUUUGAUCGUCAUAAAAUGAUUGAGGGAAUGUGGCUUCGGUCUCGUAUCGGAGUGUUUAGCCCUUGGUAGAUGUGACGAUUGGGAUCGAGGAUUGCAACGAAUACUUUUUGGGCUACCAUCUGACCUCUGAAGUCGCUCGGUGUUGUAAGCUUGCUUAUAGUCAUUCGAGUGUCGUCAACAGGUUAGAAUGUGAUUAUAUUCGUUAAGGAUGUUGACGUAAUGGCUUUAAACGA
rnacentral:rRNA from 1 species